AAACUUACCUGGCUGGGAUCUCGCCGCGAUCAAGAAGGCGGGGAAUCCAUGGCGAGGCUGGGACAUUGCACUUCCGCUCCCGGCUGACCCGUGUGGCAGCUCCGAGUUGGAGUUGUGGACUCAGUCCCGUAUUUGUUGUCCAAUGGACUCAGUCCCGUA
rnacentral:snRNA from 12 species